UCUCCGUAGGUGAACCUGCGGAGGGAUCAUUACAGAGUUCAUGCCCUACCGGGUAGAUCUCCCACCCUAUGUUAUUAUUACUUUGUUGCUUUGGCGGGCCGUUAGGCUCCGGCCCGACUACCGGCCCCGGCUGGUAAGCGCCCGCCAGAGGACCCUAAACCCUGAAUAUUAGUGUCGUCUGAGUACUAUAUAAUAGUCAAAACUUUCAACAACGGAUCUCUUGGUUCUG
rnacentral:misc_RNA from 1 species